CCUACGGGAGGCAGCAGUGGGGAAUAUUGCACAAUGGGGGAAACCCUGAUGCAGCGACGCCGCGUGGAGGAAGAAGGUCUUCGGAUUGUAAACUCCUGUUGUUGAGGAAGAUAAUGACGGUACUCAACAAGGAAGUGACGGCUAACUACGUGCCAGCAGCCGCGGUAAAACGUAGGUCACAAGCGUUGUCCGGAAUUACUGGGUGUAAAGGGAGCGCAGGCGGGAAGACAAGUUGGAAGUGAAAUCCAUGGGCUCAACCCAUGAACUGCUUUCAAAACUGUUUUUCUUGAGUAGUGCAGAGGUAGGCGGAAUUCCCGGUGUAGCGGUGGAAUGCGUAGAUAUCGGGAGGAACACCAGUGGCGAAGGCGGCCUACUGGGCACCAACUGACGCUGAGGCUCGAAAGUGUGGGUAGCAAACAGGAUUAGAUACCCCAGUAGUC
rnacentral:rRNA from 1 species